rnacentral:rRNA from 1 species
UGGAUACACUUAGUGGCGGACGGGUGAGUAACGCGUGGGUACCUGCCUCACACUGGGGGAUAACAGUUAGAAAUAGCUGCUAAUACCGCAUAAGUCCGCAUGGAAAAAACUCCGGUGGUGUGAGAUGGACCCGCGUCUGAUUAGCCAGUUGGCGGGGUAACGGCCCACCAAAGCGACGAUCAGUAGCCGGCCUGAGAGGGUGAACGGCCACAUUGGGACUGAGACACGGCCCAAACUCCUACGGGAGGCAGCAGUGGGGAAUAUUGCACAAUGGGGGAAACCCUGAUGCAGCGACGCCGCGUGAGUGAAGAAGUAUUUCGGUAUGUAAAGCUCUAUCAGCAGGGAAGAAGUGACGGUACCUGAAUAAGAAGCCCCGGCUAACUACGUGCCAGCAGCCGCGGUAAUACGUAGGGGGCAAGCGUUAUCCGGAUUUACUGGGUGUAAAGGGAGCGUAGACGGCAAGGCAAGUCUGAAGUGAAAGCCCGGUGCUUAACGCCGGGACUGCUUUGGAAACUGUUUGGCUGGAGUGCCGGAGAGGUAAGCGGAAUUCCUAGUGUAGCGGU